rnacentral:snoRNA from 1 species
GGCUCCUAAGUGCUUACCACAGGUGGUGUUCUUACACUGUAUAUUGGAAGAAGAGGUAAAGUAAACCCUACCGACGUAUACCAUCUCAGCUGAGUCCCUUGUGCUUGUCUGUACUGUAGUGGGGAGACACUG